rnacentral:rRNA from 1 species
ACGCUGGCGGCAGGCCUAACACAUGCAAGUCGAGCGGUAGAGAGAAGCUUGCUUCUCUUGAGAGCGGCGGACGGGUGAGUAAUGCCUAGGAAUCAGCCUGGUAGUGGGGGAUAACGUUCGGAAACGGACGCUAAUACCGCAUACGUCCUACGGGAGAAAGCAGGGGACCUUCGGGCCUUGCGCUAUCAGAUGAGCCUAGGUCGGAUUAGCUAGUUGGUGGGGUAAUGGCUCACCAAGGCGACGAUCCGUAACUGGUCUGAGAGGAUGAUCAGUCACACUGGAACUGAGACACGGUCCAGACUCCUACGGGAGGCAGCAGUGGGGAAUAUUGGACAAUGGGCGAAAGCCUGAUCCAGCCAUGCCGCGUGUGUGAAGAAGGUCUUCGGAUUGUAAAGCACUUUAAGUUGGGAGGAAGGGCAGUUACCUAAUACGUGAUUGUUUUGACGUUACCGACAGAAUAAGCACCGGCUAACUCUGUGCCAGCAGCCGCGGUAAUACAGAGGGUGCAAGCGUUAAUCGGAAUUACUGGGCGUAAAGCGCGCGUAGGUGGUUAGUUAAGUUGGAUGUGAAAUCCCCGGGCUCAACCUGGGAACUGCAUUCAAAACUGACUGACUAGAGUAUGGUAGAGGGUGGUGGAAUUUCCUGUGUAGCGGUGAAAUGCGUAGAUAUAGGAAGGAACACCAGUGGCGAAGGCGACCACCUGGACUGAUACUGACACUGAGGUGCGAAAGCGUGGGGAGCAAAC